rnacentral:lncRNA from 1 species
CAAGACAUAGGCGGCUAGCUGAGAUCAAUAGGAAUAGCUGAACUAGUGAACCUCUUAAUUAAAACAAGCUUGUCACAGAUGCAUGGCUAGCAACCAUAGACUUUUUUUUAAGUCUGUGCGGAGGAAUUCAAGGUGAGUUGCUUCCUCGCAGAGAUUUGCACCAACAAGUAUAUUUCAAGGAACAAUUGAAACAAGAGUUAUAGAGCGAAACAUUAAAUGCAUGCUUAAACAACAUGUUAAUAAUUAACUAACAGGUGGUAUAGAUGACAUGAAGAUCCCUUGAUUGCAUCAUCCAGUGCCGUAAAAGGAAAUUACAUCUUCAUGUUUUACUCAGCCGAAUUUCAGAGACUGGUAUACUUUUCCCUUGCAAGAGCAUUUUCAGAUCCUCUGUUUUCUUAUUCUGAUCUUAGUGUUUCCAGAUCCUGCAAACCUCUAAUCUUCCACCUCCCCCCUCUUCCUAUAACUUCUCUGUAAUUUUACUUUCUUAAUAAAGCUGGGUGGCUGUUUCGCUGCUCCAUCAAAAAAGAUAAUGAGGAUAUUUCUUAAAUCCAUGGAAAUAUGAACUGACGAAGCAAAACGAAGAAAAAAGCUAGAAAAUAAGGACUUUGUGAAGCUAUUAUCCUUGUUUAUAGUCGUAAUCUGGAGUCACUAAUACAUAAACAAUGCAAAAAUGUAACUAGGAUAUAUACGUGUACAUGUAUCUUUGUACAGAACUUGAAGGUUACCUGAAGAAUGGCUGUAGGAGUGGCAUCGAAUUCCCUUUUCACAGCAUUUGUAUGGUUUCGGAAUCAAUACGUAUGAAAGGUAUGUGAGCAAUCUUUGGCCAAUCAGCUCCUCCUCUUUGGCAUCGGUCCUUCAACAAAGGGCAUGCAUCGAUGAGUAAUC